rnacentral:tRNA from 1 species
UCCCUGGUGGCUCAGAUGGUAAAGAAUCUGCCUGCAAUGCAGGAGACCUGGGUUCGAUCCCUGGGCUGGGAA